UACGAAGGGGGCUAGCGUUGCUCGGAAUCACUGGGCGUAAAGAGCUCGUAGGCGGUUCCGUAAGUCAGGUGUGAAAAAUCUGGGCUCAACCCAGUGGAGCACCUGAUACUGCGGUGACUCGAGUCCGGUAGGGGAGUGUGGAAUUCCUGGUGUAGCGGUGAAAUGCGCAGAUAUCAGGAGGAACACCGACGGCGAAGGCAGCACUCUGGGCCGGUACUGACGCUGAGGAGCGAAAGCCAGGGGAGCAAACGGG
rnacentral:rRNA from 1 species